GAGGGGGCAAGCGUUGUUCGGAAUUACUGGGCGUAAAGGGCGCGUAGGCGGCCUGCUAAGUCGAACGUGAAAUCCCCGGGCUCAACCCGGGAACUGCGUCCGAUACUGACAGGCUUGAAUCCGGGAGAGGGAUGUGGAAUUCCAGGUGUAGCGGUGAAAUGCGUAGAUAUCUAGAGGAACACCGGUGGCGAAGGCGGCAUCCUGGACCGGUAUUGACGCUGAUGCGCGAAAGCCAGGGGAGCAAACGGG
rnacentral:rRNA from 1 species